ACAAGCUGCCAUGAAUCCUGCAGCUACAAGGAAAUGAACUCUAUUAACUUGAGUGAGCUUAAAACUAGAUCCUUCCCCAGUCAAGCCUCCAGGUGAGAAUUCAGUCCUGGCUGGCACCUGGAUUGCAGCUUACAGAAGACCCAGCUAAGGCCAUGUCUGGACUUUAAAUCCACAGGAACUGCAAGAUGGUAUCAGAAGUGGGACCUGCAGUGGGGCAUCUAGCAACCCCCAGGAGCAUUAAGUGACAAGGCUUGGGACCCACCGGGCCCAGGGUGUCCAUUGUUCUCUCGAAGCAACUGAGAAUUGUGGAUAUUCUUCAUUAUUCCAUCAUCAUCUCAAACCUCUUGGGUAUAGUGUUUGACUGCUACUGUGACCAUAAAUUCCAAUAAAACCUAGGAAAAAAUGAAACCACUACAUUAACUGAAAGGCAGGAAGGCCCUUGCUGGAUGCCAGCAACUUGAUAUUAGAUU
rnacentral:lncRNA from 1 species